CAAGCCUGAGGAGAGUUUGUCUUUGCUGCUCCUCCUUUUGUUGGCCCCUUCACUCAAUCUUUUAAACAGCACUUCUCAAGUAACAGCCCACCUCUCUAUUCUUCAAAGAGUAUCCAUGAUGUUCAGUGUGCCCACAAUUGAGCAGAUAAGCUAUCUCUUGGUUGUGUUUGCAGUUACUGUUUUUCCCCAGGAGGUCAUGGUACCAUUUGUGGUGCUAAGGGGCCCAGCUCAAGCUCAGCCCUAGAAUGCACAGAGCAACAACAGUAUAGCAGAAGGAAGGUCCUCAUCCUUAAGUCUUUAAGUCAGGCUAUUUGAUUUUUUCUCCCUGCUCUCUCUUCCUCUACACACACACACACACACACACACACACACACAC
rnacentral:lncRNA from 1 species